rnacentral:rRNA from 1 species
GAUGAACGCUGGCGGCGUGCCUAAUACAUGCAAGUCGAGCGAACGGACGAGAAGCUUGCUUCUCUGAUGUUAGCGGCGGACGGGUGAGUAACACGUGGAUAACCUACCUAUAAGACUGGGAUAACUUCGGGAAACCGGAGCUAAUACCGGAUGAUAUUUUGAACCGCAUGGUUCAAAAGUGAAAGACGGUCUUGCUGUCACUUAUAGAUGUAUCCGCGCUGCAUUAGCUAGUUGGUAAGGUAACGGCUUACCAAGGCAACGAUGCAUAGCCGACCUGAGAGGGUGAUCAGCCACACUGGAACUGAGACACGGUCCAGACUCCUACGGGAGGCAGCAGUAGGGAAUCUUCCGCAAUGGGCGAAAGCCUGACGGAGCAACGCCGCGUGAGUGAUGAAGGUCUUCGGAUCGUAAAACUCUGUUAGUAGGGAAGAACAGAUGUGUAAGUAACUGUUCACAUCUUGACGGUACCUAAACAGAAAGCCACGGCUAACUACGUG